GUGGGGAAUCUUGCGCAAUGGGCGAAAGCCUGACGCAGCCAUGCCGCGUGAAUGAUGAAGGUCUUAGGAUUGUAAAAUUCUUUCACCGGGGACGAUAAUGACGGUACCCGGAGAAGAAGCUCCGGCUAACUUCGUGCCAGCAGCCGCGGUAAUACGAAGGGGGCUAGCGUUGCUCGGAAUUACUGGGCGUAAAGGGCGCGUAGGCGGACAGCUUAGUCAGAGGUGAAAGCACAUGGCUCAACCUUGGAAUUGCCUUUGAUAAUGGCUGUCUUGAGUUUGGGAGAGGUGAGUGGAACUCCGAGUGUAGAGGUGAAAUUCGUAGAUAUUCGGAAGAACACCAGUGGCGAAGGCGACUCACUGGCCCAAUACUGACGCUGAGGCGCGAAAGCGUGGGGAGCAAACAGGAUUAGAAACCCCAGUAGUCC
rnacentral:rRNA from 1 species